rnacentral:lncRNA from 1 species
UUUUUUUUUUUUUUUUUUUGGCUGAUUUAAGAGAUUUCCCUGAGAGUAUGUCAGGGAGAGGUGGCAGGUGAUUGCUAAAAAAACUGUCAGGUGAAGGGCAACCAUCUCUAGGAACGUGCCAGCUCACAUAUUACAUCACAGCUGUCAAUGCUUGUCUAUUUGAGUCUCUAAUCCAUAAGAUAAAAGCCAGCCUGUGGGAAACUUUCCAUGGGACUUUUGCUACUGACCCUCCUAACUCUGUGUGGAAGCCACGAUUCUUGGUUUCCUACUUCAUUUAGGAUUAUGCUCCAGUUUCACCUUAUCAGAGAGGCCUUCCUUAACCAUCCAGUAUAAAAUCAUGCAUGCCACGUGUGUACACGCACAGACUCCCUGUCUUACUUACAUUACUUUCUGCCCCCACCCCUCUAGCACUUUUUAAUAUCUGAAAUUUAUACUUAUUUGUUUGUUUCCUCCCCAAUAGAAUAUAUGGUCUGCAAGGACAGGACUGUGGUUUUUGUUUUAUUUAUUUAUUUAUUUAUUUUUUAAAGAUUUUAUUUAUUUAUUCAUGAGAGACACAGAGAGAGAGGCAGAGACACAGGCAGAGGGAGAAGCCGGCUCCAUGCAGGGAGCCCGACAUGUGGACUCCAGGAUCACACCCUGGGCAGAAGGCGGCACUAAACCCCUGAGCCACUGGAGCUGCCCUUUUUGUUUGUUUUAAUUCUUUGAUGCACAAUUAGGACUUAGAAGAGAGCUAGCAGGUGGUCCUAAAACAUGUAGUUAGGUGGCACUUAUAAAUAUUUGUGGAAUAAAUGGCUGCAUCAUAGAAUUAGAACUAGCUCUUCCAUGAGUCUUGGAGGUUGCUUCAGUGUCUCCUUGUUUUAAGCGGUGAUCUCACCUAAGCCCUGUAAUGAUUGAAUCGGUAGAAUCACUGACCAUGAACCUUGCAUAUUUUGAAGAUACACUCUUUGUAUUUCUCAGCCUUUUAUGUGGAAUGUCAUUCUCCCCUCACAACCCUCUGCUGUGUGUUAGUUUGGGAAAAAUGUCAACGCUUAUCUCCCAAUAGUGAUGAGAUAAAGGGGGCUUUAGGUUAUAGUGGGCUCUUUGAGGUCUGCCAGAAUGUGCUGGGCCAGGGGGUUCUUCUGGGCCCUGGUGAAUUUCCACUCUAUGCCAUCAGCCGCAAACAUGGGCCGGAAAAUGCAGGUGAAUGUGUGGGUGGCUCUGAGACUGCCCCAGACAAUGGAAGGCUCCCUUCUAGCUCCAUUGUUCACGUUUUAUCAGGCCUCAAGGCUAUGUUCUGACUCAGGGCCUCUUCUUGCCACCACUUUAGCUGAUGUCAUAACUGGCCUUCCAGGCCAGAGUCACCCUGACGUGGAGAAGACCCUCCUGUACGUCAGCACCUUACCAAGCCUGAGAGGCAGAAGAGAUGUAUGGUCUGAGUGGAGUUUUGCCCAAGCUGGUGGGUGAAUGUAGAGCCAUGGUUUUUCAGUCCCCCACUUUGCUUUGUUUACCAAGCUUUGUGUGGCUCAGUGACUCUGUUUCGGUAUCUCUAAUUGCCCACAGCCCUUCAUCAUAUGGAUACUUUGUGGUCACUGCUGUCCUGCCACAUGAGCUGAUGCGGAUGAAAUUAUUGCUCCUGUAUUUUUUAGUCACUUGAACCCUCUGUAGAACUAAUAAGUGUUUUAGAAUGACCAUGGAAAGGAUGACAUCAACACUGAGAAGGAACAUUUUACGGCUGGUGAAGCUGAUUUCACAGCCUGCCGGACAAGAGUCUUAACACACAACUAGACCCGGGCUUUAUUUCCCAUCCUGCUGUGGACAGCCUGCAGACUCUACAGCGAGAUCUGUACCCAGAUGCGAAGAGCUGUGCUUCAGCAACCAGAGGCCCAGCUGCUAACCUAUCAGGAGUACGGGGCUUGCUGAAAAUCAGGAGGAAAUGUGCUCUCAUCAAAUUAUUCUUUUAAAAACUGUACUUAAUGUGUGUAAAGAUUGCAUUACAGCAGACCCCCCCCCCCCCCCCCAAGUACAACUACAAUUGACUUUGCAGAGAUGUUUGUAGGUAUCUCUGUGUUUCCAAGGAAGUUUGGAGCAAUAGGGUGUGAUUUCAAAACAUGCAGUAUAAGGUCUGCUCCAGAGUUUAAGAUCAUCAAGAGGUCUUGUGUUGGUUAAGAUUUUAAGGUCUGAACUUUAAAGCAUCGAUCUUAAUAAAGGGGUUUUGGUAAUUUAACAGUUUCUGGGAGGUGAUUGUACUGAUCAAAAUGUAAAAGAAAAUCUGUAUUAGCAACAAGGAGAAGAUUAUUUGAUGCAUCAGAAGGGUUUUUUUUUUUUUCCUUAUUGGCUCUUAGAAUCCAUAACUAUAUAUUUAACAAGACAAGGCUAUAAUUGAACUUUUCAUUUCCAGUAAGUCAAUUGUGUACAUUUCUCAGUGAAUGGAGAUUACAUGUACAAAACCGACAAGCGGAGAGAUUGAGUUGUACAUUUUGCAAAGGAUUGCUUAAUCACCUAUGGAUACUUGGAAUAAUGACUCACCAUAGAUGUUAUGGUAGUCAAAUAUAAGCAAAUCAUUGGCAAAAGUAAAAAAAAAAAAAA